UUCUCUUUAGUUCAUUUAGAAUUUUAGCUUUGGGGGUUAAAGGUUACAGAGAAA
rnacentral:tRNA from 1 species